AUUGAACGCUGGCGGCAGGCCUAACACAUGCAAGUCGAGCGAGCGGCGGACGGGUGAGUAAUGUCUGGGAACCUGCCUGAUGGCGGGGGAUAACUACUGGAAACGGUAGCUAAUACCGCAUACCCUCAGAUGUGCCCAGAUGGGAUUAGCUAGUAGGUGGGGUAACGGCCCACCUGGGCGACGAUCCCUAGCUGGUCUGAGAGGAUGACCAGCCACACGGGAACUGAGACACGGUCCAGACGCCUACGGGGGGCAGCAGUGGGGAAUAUUGGCCAAUGGGCGAAAGCCUGAUGCAGCCAGGCCGCGUGUGUGAAGAAGGCCUUCGGGUUGUAAAGCACUUUCAGCGGGGAGGCGGUACCCGCAGAAGAAGCACCGGCUAACUCCGUGCCAGCCGCCGCGGUAAUAC
rnacentral:rRNA from 1 species